rnacentral:rRNA from 1 species
UACGUAGGGCGCAAGCGUUAUCCGGAAUUAUUGGGCGUAAAGGGCUCGUAGGCGGUCUGUUGCGUCAGGAGUGAAAACUCGGGGCUUAACCCCGAGCCUGCUUCUGAUACGGGCAGACUAGAGGUAUGCAGGGGAGAACGGAAUUCCUGGUGUAGCGGUGAAAUGCGCAGAUAUCAGGAGGAGCACCGGUGGCGAAGGCGGGUCUCUGGGCCGAUACUGACGCUGAGGAGCGAAAGCGUGGGGAGCGAACAGG